GUGGGGAAUUUUGGACAAUGGGCGAAAGCCUGAUCCAGCCAUGCCGCGUGUGUGAAGAAGGUCUUCGGAUUGUAAAGCACUUUAAGUUGGGAGGAAGGGCAGUAAGUUAAUACCUUGCUGUUUUGACGUUACCGACAGAAUAAGCACCGGCUAACUUCGUGCCAGCAGCCGCGGUAAUACGAAGGGUGCAAGCGUUAAUCGGAAUUACUGGGCGUAAAGCGCGCGUAGGUGGUUUUGUAAGUUGGAGGUGAAAUCGCCGGGCUCAACCUGGGAACUGCCUCCAAAACUGCAUGACUAGAGUACGGUAGAGGGUAGUGGAAUUUCCUGUGUAGCGGUGAAAUGCGUAGAUAUAGGAAGGAACACCAGUGGCGAAGGCGACUACCUGGACUGAUACUGACACUGAGGUGCGAAAGCGUGGGGAGCAAACAGGAUUAGAAACCCGGGUAGUCC
rnacentral:rRNA from 1 species